rfam:Gossypium raimondii Chr07_contig_246, whole genome shotgun sequence.
UGUUAAAAAUUUCAUUCACUUGUAUGCGAUUGACGAAAUAACCAGAUAAUGAUAUGCGAUGUGCCACGUGUACCUCAUGUUGACGCAUAUAGACCAAUUUUUAAAAGCAUAAAUAAAUGAAGUUUUCAACA